rnacentral:tRNA from 1 species
CGGGGCGUAGCUCAGUCUGGUAGAGCGCGGGCUUUGGGAGCCCGUUUCGUCGGCUCUGCCGUCGCCGUGCCAACCUAUCGGAAUCGUGCACAGCGAUUCGACAUCGUUCCGG